AGUGAACGCUGGCGGUAGGCCUAACACAUGCAAGUCGAACGGCAGCACAGGAGAGCUUGCUCUCUGGGUGGCGAGUGGCGGACGGGUGAGGAAUACAUCGGAAUCUACCUUUUCGUGGGGGAUAACGUAGGGAAACUUACGCUAAUACCGCAUACGACCUACGGGUGAAAGUGGGGGACCGCAAGGCCUCACGCGAUUAGAUGAGCCGAUGUCCGAUUAGCUAGUUGGCGGGGUAAUGGCCCACCAAGGCGACGAUCGGUAGCUGGUCUGAGAGGAUGAGCAGCCACACUGGAACUGAGACACGGUCCAGACUCCUACGGGCGGCAGCAGUGGGGAAUAUUGGACAAUGGGCGCAAGCCUGAUCCAGCCAUACCGCGUGGGUGAAGAAGGCCUUCGGGUUGUAAAGCCCUUUUGUUGGGAAAGAAAUCCUAUCGGUUAAUAACCGGUGGGGAUGACGGUACCUAAAGAAUAAGCACCGGCUAACUUCGUGCCAGCCGCCGCCGUAAUAC
rnacentral:rRNA from 1 species